CCUACGGGAGGCAGCAGUGAGGAAUAUUGGUCAAUGGGCGCGAGCCUGAACCAGCCAAGUAGCGUGAAGGAUGACUGCCCUACGGGUUGUACACUUCUUUUAUAAAGGACUAAAGUGAGGCACGUGUGCCUUUUUGUAUGUACUUUAUGAAUAAGGAUCGGCUAACUCCGUGCCAGCAGCCGCGGUAAUACGGAGGCUCCGAGCUGUAUCCGGAUUUAUUGGGUUUAAGGGGUGCGUAGGCGGACUAUAAAUUCAGCGGUAAAAAUUCGGGGCUCAACGCCGUCGUGCCGUUGAAACUGAUGUUCUUGAGUGGGCGAGAAGUAUGCGGAAUGCGUGGUGGAGCGGUGAAAGGCAUAGAUAUCACGCAGAACUCCGAUUGCGAAGGCAGCAUACCGGCGCCCAACUGACGCUGAAGCACGAAAGCGUGGGUAUCGAACAGGAUUAGAUACCCGGGUAGUC
rnacentral:rRNA from 1 species